CAGUAGCCGCGGUAAUACGAAGGGGGCUAGCGUUGUUCGGAUUUACUGGGCGUAAAGCGCACGUAGGCGGAUCGUUAAGUCGGGGGUGAAAUCCUGGAGCUCAACUCCAGAACUGCCUUCGAUACUGGCGAUCUAGAGUACGGGAGAGGUGAGUGGAACUCCGAGUGUAGAGGUGAAAUUCGUAGAUAUUCGGAAGAACACCGGUGGCGAAGGCGACUCACUGGCCCGUUACUGACGCUGAGGCGCGAAAGCGUGGGGAGCAAACAGGAUUAGAUACCCCCGUAGUCCCUGUCUCUUAUAC
rnacentral:rRNA from 1 species